rnacentral:rRNA from 1 species
CCUACGGGAGGCAGCAGUGAGGAAUAUUGGUCAAUGGGCGUAAGCCUGAACCAGCCAAGUCGCGUGAGGGAUGACGGUUCUAUGGAUCGUAAACCUCUGUCAGCAGGGAAGAACGGUCACUGUGCUAAUCAGCAGUGAAUUGCCGGUACCUGCAAAGGAAGCACCCGCUAACUCCGUGCCAGCAGCCGCGGUAAUACGGAGGGUGCGAGCGUUAAUCGGAAUUAUUGGGCGUAAAGCGCGCGUAGGCGGGAUGUCAAGUUAAGGGUGAAAUCCCCGGGCUCAACGUGGGAACUGCAUUUGAUACUGGCAAACUUGAGUGUAGGAGAGGAUAGUGGAAUUCGAGGUGUAGGAGUGAAAUCCGUAGAUAUCUGGAGGAACAUCAGUGGCGAAGGCGACUAUCUGGCACAUAACUGACGCUGAGGAGCGAAAGCGUGGGUAGCAAACAGGAGUAGAUACCCGGGUAGUC